rnacentral:rRNA from 1 species
GACGAACGCUGGCGGCGUGCUUAACACAUGCAAGUCGAACGGAAAGGCCCUGCUUUUGUGGGGUGCUCGAGUGGCGAACGGGUGAGUAACACGUGAGUAACCUGCCCUUGACUUUGGGAUAACUUCAGGAAACUGGGGCUAAUACCGGAUAGGAGCUCCUGCUGCAUGGUGGGGGUUGGAAAGUUUCGGCGGUUGGGGAUGGACUCGCGGCUUAUCAGCUUGUUGGUGGGGUAGUGGCUUACCAAGGCUUUGACGGGUAGCCGGCCUGAGAGGGUGACCGGCAACAUGGGGACUGAGAUACGGCCCAGACUCGAAGGGGAGGCAGCAGUGGGGAAUAUGGCACAAUGGGCGGAAGCCGGAUGCAGAAACGCCGGGUGCGGAAUGACGGCCUUCGGGUUGUAAACCGCUUUCGCCUGUGACGAAGCGUGAGUGACGGUAAUGGGUAAAGAAGCACCGGCUAACUACGUG